rnacentral:rRNA from 1 species
AGUGAACGCUGGCGGUAGGCCUAACACAUGCAAGUCGAACGGCAGCACAGUAAGAGCUUGCUCUUACGGGUGGCGAGUGGCGGACGGGUGAGGAAUACAUCGGAAUCUACUUUUUCGUGGGGGAUAACGUAGGGAGACUUACGCUAAUACCGCAUACGACCUACGGGUGAAAGCAGGGGAUCUUCGGACCUUGCGCAAUUGAAUGAGCCGAUGUCGGAUUAGCUAGUUGGCGGGGUAAAGGCCCACCAAGGCGACGAUCCGUAGCUGGUCUGAGAGGAUGAUCAGCCACACUGGAACUGAGACACGGUCCAGACUCCUACGGGAGGCAGCAGUGGGGAAUAUUGGACAAUGGGCGCAAGCCUGAUCCAGCCAUACCGCGUGGGUGAAGAAGGCCUUCGGGUUGUAAAGCCCUUUUGUUGGGAAAGAAAAGCAGCAGGUUAAUACCCCGCUGUUCUGACGGUACCCAAAGAAUAAGCACCGGCUAACUUCGUG